rnacentral:rRNA from 1 species
ACGGGGGGACUCCUACGGGAGGCAGCAGUAGGGAAUAUUGGGCAAUGGGCGCAAGCCUGACCCAGCCACGCCGCGUGAGUGAUGAAGGCUUUCGGGUCGUAAAACUCUGUUGUUAGGGAAGAACAAGUGCUAGUUGAAUAAGCUGGCACCUUGACGGUACCUAACCAGAAAGCCACGGCUAACUACGUGCCAGCAGCCGCGGUAAU